rnacentral:lncRNA from 1 species
AGACGGCAGCCGACUCUCCCGAGACACAGGGCCGAGAAGAACCGUCGGCAAACGCACCAGACGGGCGGAAAAAAAGGAUGAAGGGAGGAAGAUAUAGCCAGCCAGAGAAGGGAGAAGAGGAGAAACAUCUGGAAAAUAUCAGUGUUGCAGAGCCUCCCGGAAACUGACCUCGCCACCGAAAGGGUGAAUGGGGUCAAAAUGGAAACAGCAUGAGAGGGGCCACAGAAGGGAUUCACCAGGAAGAAGAGGAAAGGUGGGGCUGAGGUGGCCAGGACAGCACGACAUCACAUCUGACCAAGGCAUCCUCAGCCUUCCUUCAGAAAAGCAGCAGAAGGAAAAAGCUGGUACCAUUCUAAGCUUCAUCAGUGGAGAGUACUGUAGAGACAUUACAGAAAGAAGCAGUUUUCCUUCCUGGUUCCGGUACACUCUUUCUGCAGGCUGCUGCAAACACGCAUGGCUCCUAGAGUAUCCACACCUUCUUCAGCAACUGGCUCCUGCUGAACAUGAUGGUCAGCACCUCCCAGCCUCCAGCAGCUUCCACUGGCAUCCCUCUCGGUUGAUUUUGCAGCAGAAUGCAUCCAGUGAAAGACCUCCACAUGAAUAGCUUUCCUUAGCAUCUUAGAGGGUAGAUUUCUAGCAAGUUCUGCCAGCAUAGCACCCCAGUGACUUCUCUGCCAGCCCAGGAGCCACAGCAGGCCAUGACCUCUCCAGCAAGGUCUGGAGCAGAGAGAAGCAUGUGUUUGGGUGCUCUAUCAGACCCACGGCCCACGGGUAGGGGCUGCUCCUUAUAUCUGCUAUUCCUCUGUUAUUUAAAGUUCUCUUUACUUCCUGUUAGCUAGUCCCCAUUAUAGUGAACUACUUCUCUUUUUCUUAACAGUUUUCUUUUGUAUUUUUUAAAAAUUGUGGCAAAAUACAUAUAGUAUAAAAUUUACCAUCUUAAUAAUUUUAAAUAUACAGUUCAGGAGAAUUAAGUACAUUCACAUUGUUGUACAAUCAUCACCACUAUCCAUCUCUAGAACUUUUUUCAUCUUGCAAAACUGAAACUCUGUACCCACUGAAGACUAAUUCGCCAUUCUCUGCUCCUGUCAGCCCCUGGCAACCACCAUUCUACUUUUUGUCUCUAUAAAUUUGACUACUCCAGGUAACUUACAUUCAGUGGAAUUAAAGAGUAUUUGUCUUUUUGUGAUGGCUUAUCUCACUUAACAUCCUCAAGAUUCAUCCACAUGGUAGCAGGUCAGACUUUCCUUCCUUUCUUCCUUUUUAAGGCUGGGUGAUAUUCCAUUGUAUGUGUAUAUCACAUUUUGUUUAUACAUCCUUCUGUAGAUGGAUACCUGGAUUGCUACCACCUUUUGGGUUUUGGUUUACAAAUAUCUCUUUGAGAUGCCUUUUCAAUUCUUUUGAGUAUAUACCCAGAAGUAAAAUUGCUAAAUCAUAUGGUAAUUCUAUUUUUCAUUUUUAAAGGAACUGUCAUAUUGUUUUCCUAGCUAAUACUUGUUUAUUUUAAACUUUCCUUUAAAUUACUGUGUACUUUAUAUUCUCAUUAGACCCUGACCAAUAUAUGCAAUGCCCAACAGGUACAUACAUUCCAUUAAGAAAUGAAGAGUAACGUAAAAACAUUAUUUUUAAAUAUUUCAAUAUAUAUGUAUUAUUUUGUACAACUACAAAGUUAUCAAUACAGAAAUACUAAGUUGUUUGGAACUAAGUACUUAACAAAUGAAACUGCUAAGUAUUUCUUUUGUCCUAGAAAUGGCAUGAAAAAAAUUACUGAGACCACUAAGGGUGCAUGAGCCAAGAACAUUUGGAAGGCUCUGCUCUAGCCUACAUGUUUCCAGCUGCCAUUAGGACCUGUCUGCUUGAAUGGUUCCUUAGGCUCGCCCUAUCUAGGGGUAUCCCUGAAGGCACAGAUGGAGCCUUAAUAUUAACCGUACUUAAUAUUAUAUUUCUUUAUAAAUUUUUCUCACUUAGGCACUGGGGGCUACAAACCUUACAAUUAUCUUUGACUUAUGCUGCUCUGUCUCCCCUUAUUUCUAAUCUCACAUCAAAAUGUUUCCUGGAUUGGCCUUUUUUUCUCUCCAUUCCUGCAGCAGUCAGUAAAGCCAUCAUCUCUAGUUAGCGUUGCCUAACAGAUUUUAAGCUAGUUUCCCUUAAACAAGACAGUGGGUUGAAAAUUCAAAUGCUCACUGAGGCUAGAAAUAUGUUAAUUCAUACCUGCCACACAAGAAUUGGCUGCCUCAGUCCUUGCACCCAUGAAGGCAACACCAAUAGGACAGGCUGUGGGUGAGGCCCCAUUCCCAGGAUGCCAGCUAUUACAGUGUGGAUGUUUGUCCCUUCCAAGCCUCAUGUUGAAAUGUGAUGGAGGUGGGGCCUGAUAGGAGGUGUUUGGGUCAUGGAGGUGGAUCCUUAAUGAAUGGCUUGGUGCCCUCCCCAUGGUAACGAGUGAGUCCUUGCUCUAUGAGUUCAUGCGAGAGCUGGUUCUUUAAAAGAGCCUGGUACCUCCUCCCCUCUCUCUUGCU